rnacentral:RNase_P_RNA from 1 species
AGCAGGGCGGAUGAUCGCGGGGCCUUCGGGCCGUGAGGAAAGUCCGGGCUUCACAGGGCAGGAUGCCGGAUAACGUCCGGCGGAGGCGACUCCCGGGAAAGCGCCACAGAGAACAGACCGCCGCUUUGCCUUACGGCAAAGCGGUAAGGGUGAAACGGCAGUGUAAGAGACUACCGCUCCGGCAGCAAUGCAGGAGGCAGGGCAAGCCCCAUCCGAAGCAAGACCAAACAGAAGGCAUAAGGCGGCCCGUCUGCCUUCGGGUAGGUCGCUUGAGCCGUCCGGCAACGGGCGGUCUAGACAGAUGAUCAUCCGCGACAGAACCCGGCUUACAGCCCUGCUCC